CACGGCGGCUGCACUGCGUGCGGCCAGAGAGAGAGCCGGGAGGAAUAAGCGAAGGAAGAGGUGGCGGGAUCCUGCGGGGCUGGAUUGGAGCCCCGGUGGUGCUACUGCUGCCGUUGGACGCCGGCCGAAGGGACAAGUCCCUAGGUAAGGAAACAACAUGUGUUGCAUCGGCACAUUUGAUGCAGAGUAGCUACUGUAAGUUCCUCUCCCUUCUCUAAUAAGCAUUGCGACCUCUCCCUUCUCUAAUUGGUAUUGAGAUUCAAUUGCUAUUCGAUGGAGAGCAGCCACAAAAAGUUCCUCAAUUGAUGCACAGCGGCCACCGAAAACAGAUCUCGCUUUCAAUCUCUAAUUGAUUCUCAGCUACAGAGUGGCAUGUAUCUAUAGACUUGCUAAUGUGAUGGCUAAUGCAUGUGUAUUAAUUCAUGAAUUAGCAAAAUAUUUCCCGUGAGAUGUGCUAAUAUACAAAUUUGAUGUUCACAGUGCCCUCCACUUUUUUUUUGUUAUGCCUAUAAGAGAUGACUUUUUUUCAAUUUUUAAAUAGAAAAGCACAGUAUGGUUGCUCUUAUAUACAGCUUAUAAAAAGGAAUUGCAAAAUAAGAAGAGUGAUCUGUUCUACUCAAAACAAAAUUGCUGAAAUUCACAUGCAUGGUGGCGCCAUACAGCGAGCGCAUGGUGGCAGAGUUCACAAGCUAGAUCUUUGACUGGCGUUAUGGCUUGUCCUGAUGCAGAGAAGGACGGGGUUCAAGUUGUUGGGCCGGUGGCAGGGGCAGCAUGAUGUUUUCGUCAGGUAACAACCUAGGCAUCGACUCAAGAUUUAACUGAACCAAUUCCUUUAAUUCAGGCUCCAAAUCGUUGUUAUUUGAUUCACCAAUUGGUUGCUGGCAACAACUAAUUGGACAUAUAAUUGUUGAUUUCUGUACAAACAAUAUCUUCAGUUGUUUUCAGAUCUUCAAUAAGGAUCAUCAAGCCUCUGUUUUUUAUAUGAAGAAUAGAUAUUGUAAUUGUGCCUCCAUUACGUCUAAAAGUCAGGUAUCGGAAAACUGUCAUUGGCAUAUCUCUGUCAUGAUGGAAGAUUGGUUAGACAGAAAAAGGACCUCUGGUUAUGUAUGACAUGAUGCGAGGCACAUAUCUCUGAAUGAAGCGCAACAAGAAUUGACAUCCUCUAAUGCUAACUGUUGACCAUUCUUCUCUGAAGUAUCAGGUCAGUAUCCCAUGUGCCCCCUAUUCAUCUGUCAUCGCUGCAUAAAAAUUUAAUGCAGUUUUUAAGCCUAUGUUUAAGGAUAGCUAAAUCUCUAUGGACCAACCAUAUUAUCUUUUUGAGAUAAUAAAUCAACCUUCAUCAUGUACUUAUGUUGUAACUUCUCCCAUCUUUUGUGCUAUUAUCUAAAAGAGGUGUGGAUUGGAAUCAGUUUUUUUUGCUGCACCCCCAUUCCGACGAGGUCACGCACACAUACCACCGGGAAUCCCACGGACCCUAUGUUCGAGCGCGAGCGACGGCAAUAGCAUCUGCAAGUACUUGACCAACACGCUACCCGGGUGUGGUAUCCACUAUUGAGGCCAAGCAACCUAGCUCGGUCAUCCUUAAGUGUGCUUGUGUCCACCACCUGAUGAAGAACGGGAGAAGAUUGCUGACUUUGUGCCUAAUGAUGGUUGCCUGAACUUCGUAGAGCAAAUUGACGAGGUGUUGAUUGCUGAAUUUGGUCUUAAGAGGCACGUCGUGGGAGAUAUCCCUUGUGGCAGGUUCAAAGUUGUGAUGGUAUCUGGUGUCUCCCAGCGAGAUUUGUUCCUUCUCUUAACAGUUACUAUUAAGAACAAAUUUAUGUUUCCAGCAAAAAAGUUGGCCGGCCCCAGCAAAAAAAAAGAACAGUUCCAGCAAAAAAAGAUCGUCGCCGUGGUCACAGGUGUCAACAAGCAGUCUUCGGAAUCAUCAAUAAGCCAACAGCGAGAAAUAAGUUUAAGAAUUGAGUUCCUUUAACAGGGAAAUAAGGAAGGGAAGAAACAAAUAGGGAACAAUCAGAUGAAGCAUCAAGGAAAAUGGAUUGAACAAUCAGAUGAAGCAUCCAGCUCGAGGAGAAGCAUGGUCUGCAAGGAGACCAAUCAUCUUGAGGUGGUUCUUUCAGCUACUGCAUGUUCCAUUACGGAGAAGGGUACUUAGUCGAUCUUAGGAGCCAGACUCUGCUCUCCUUGCAGGGAGAAUUUCAACAAAUGGUACUAUUACUCUCCCAACAAUUCUUUUAUCACUACAAAAUGUGUAGGAACCUUAUUUUUCCCUGAGAUACUGUAAUUGAGGAACCGAGAGCCGCGACGGAACAUUGUAUUUUGCACUACAUCCUGUAUUUGCUUUGUGGGAAGCUGGCUUGAGGACAAAUAUGUCAGCUCCAUUUUCGCUGUGAGUGAUUCUUCAUAUGACGGUAGUGUUGCUUGUGUUCAUAAUCAGUCUCUAUGUAAUGUUUCGGCAGAGAGAGUUGUAACGCCUCGGUCUUCUUGCCGAGUUGCAGAAUGCUGUUGUUCACUCUGCAAUAGGAUGGAUGAACAUGGUUUUCUUUAUUUUA